UGGUCUGGGAGUGUUUAUAGCCCUGUGAGUUUAACACUUCAUGACUGAGAGCUGUCCUUCAUGACAACAGAACCCACAACAACCAUGACUUUUAUCACCAUCUUCAUCUGGAUAUUUGCCCUCUGUCUCCAAGAAUCCAGAGGCCAGGUCACUGUAACUCAGACCCCUGCAGUAAAAGCUGUUAUCCCAGGACAGACAGUCUCUCUGAACUGUAAAACCAGCAGUGAUGUGCAUGGUGCAGGAGGCUCUCCCCGCCUAGCCUGGUACCAACAGAAACCUGGAGGAGAUCCUAAACUCCUAAUAUCCUUGGCUACAACACUUCAGUCUGGGAAUCCAUCUAGAUUCAGUGGUAGUGGAACUCAUAGUGACUUCACUCUGACCAUCAGUGGAGUCCAAGCUGAAGAUGCAGGAGAUUACUACUGUCAGAGUGAACACAACCUCAACAGUGUCUGGGUGUUCACACAGUGA